CCACCCACAUUCGCCUAUUAGCGCUAUACAGCGUUAGCAUGUUAACUGAUUUACUCAAACCCUCACGUUAACUGGCAGGCGUGCUUAAAGCAAGAUUCAUAAGCUUGGACCAUGGUGCGCCUUUUAAUGGACCUCAAUCUGCAGGCCAGAGUUCAUUAAGCCGCAUCACUUUGCACCACAUCAUCAUUUGACUGGAGCCUAAUAAGUGACAGCCCUGAGGCGCUGCUGAGGAGGCUGCAGAAGGGCUUGUAAUCACCAUUCACCUAUCCAUCAUCUCUAUUGGCUGUGCUUUGCUGUCAGGGAAGAGAAGCCAUCUGAGGUGCUAUAAGUUAAUAGGUGGACUCACCUUGGGAGAGAAGACUAUCAGAGGUGCCUCUCUGACUCGGCCAAGCAGCAUUCUCCAGCUUCCCUGAGCUUUGGGCCAACCUUCAGGGUGUUGAAUGUCACCAUCUGUUGACGACCUGCCGACUUCACGUCGCUACAGGAAGUGAAAGAGGGGGGUUGGUUGACGCCAAGCCCGUG